CAAAAACAUAGCCCUGGUGGAUAAUAAUAGGGGUUUAUGCYCAAGAUAUUUUUUAAAUGGCCGCAGUACCCUGACUGUGCAAAGGUAGCAUAAUCAAUUGGCUUCUAAUUAAAGUCCGGAAUGAAUGAAAGAAUGAGAGGCUAACUAUAUAAUUAACUUUUUAUGAAAUUACUUAUUGGGUGAAAAUACCCAUAUUUACACAUAAGACGAGAAGACCCUAGAAAUUUACUUAGUAUUUUGUUGGGGCAACAUAGUAGCAAGUAAACCUACUUAAUUUUUCUUGAAGCAGUGCGGUUUGAUUAAAUUACUUUAGGGAUAACAGCAUAAUACGUGAGUGUUUGUGACCUCGAUGUUGGAUUAGGAAGUUGCAGUUUAGAAAAUAACCAAAACGCUCUGUUCGAGCA
rnacentral:rRNA from 1 species